rnacentral:rRNA from 1 species
CUUGGUCAUUUAGAGGAAGUAAAAGUCGUAACAAGGUCUCCGUAGGUGAACCUGCGUAGGGAUCAUUACAAGUGACCCCGGUCUUACCACCGGGAUGUUUAUAACCCUUUGUUGUCCGACUCUGUUGCCUCCGGGGCGACCCUGCCUUCGGGCGGGGGCCCCGGGUGGACACUUCAAACUCUUGCGUAACUUUGCAGUCUGAGUAAACUUAAUUAAUAAAUUAAAACUUUUAACAACGGAUCUCUUGGUUCUGGCAUCGAUGAAGAACGCAGCGAAAUGCGAUAAGUAAUGUGAAUUGCAGAAUUCAGUGAAUCAUCGAAUCUUUGAACGCACAUUGCGCCCCCUGGUAUUCCGGGGGGCAUGCCUGUUCGAGCGUCAUUUCACCACUCAAGCCUCGCUUGGUAUUGGGCAACGCGGUCCGCCGCGUGCCUCAAGUCGACCGGCUGGGUCUUCUGUCCCCUAAGCGUUGUGGAAACUAUUCGCUAAAGGGUGUUCGGGAGGCUACGCCGUAAAACAACCCCAUUUCUAAGGUUGACCUCGGAUCAGGUAGGGAUACCCGCUGAACUUAAGCAUAUCAAUAA